CCUACGGGAGGCAGCAGUGAGGAAUAUUGGUCAAUGGGCGCUAGCCUGAACCAGCCAAGUAGCGUGAAGGAUGACUGCCCUAUGGGUUGUAAACUUCUUUUAUAUGGGAAUAAAAUGUACCAUGUAUACUAUUUUGUAUGUACCUUAUGAAUAAGGAUCGGCUAACUCCGUGCCAGCAGCCGCGGUAAUACGGAGGAUCCGAGCGUUAUCCGGAUUUAUUGGGUUUAAAGGGAGCGUAGGUGGAUUGUUAAGUCAGUUGUGAAAGUUUGCGGCUCAACCGUAAAAUUGCAGUUGAUACUGGCAGGCUUGAGUACAGUAGAGGUGGGCGGAAUUCGUGGUGUAGCGGUGAAAUGCUUAGAUAUCACGAAGAACUCCGAUUGCGAAGGCAGUUUGCUGGACUGUAACUGACGCUGAGGCUCGAAAGUGUGGGUAGCAAACAGGAUUAGAUACCCGAGUAGUC
rnacentral:rRNA from 1 species